CAGUGAUGGGAUGACAGAGACCUCGUCCGCUCAGGGGCUUAUUCUUCCGUCUCUUUGCAGGGCUGUUUUGGACUCAGUAUUCACCUAAGCACUCCAAAUUACCCAGCACACCCUGCCUGUGCAGCUCUGUGCUGCACCUUCACUCUAGUCACGGGUGUAGCAGUCAGCUCACCAAUUCCUCCUGCUUCCCUGGGACUCGCCGGCUUUUAGCACUGCAAGUCCCUCAGCAAACUGGGACUGUUGAUCACCCUACCUGGCAGCCAGUGAUAAGGUGAGGGCCACUCCUGGGAGGGAGGACACCUGUGGGGAAAAUUCUUGUGUUAUUUAUUUCUCCUUCGGGAUAGGGUGCCUGCAGUGCUUCAUGGGAGGGGGUGGGCUGAUGCUGCAAGCUCAGAAGUUUCAAGGGCAUCUAGGGAGACCAGAUAUUCAGAGACCUUCUCCUAGACGUGCCUGUUCCAUGUAUCAGGGACAUAGGUUUUCCCAGCAGGACUUGUGUCAUUGGCAUGACAGACCCGCCUUGGCUGAGCGUUCAACUGUCUUUGGAGUUCAGCCACCUUAGCAAGUCCUGGGUUUGUUCUUCAGACUUUGCUGCUUGCCCAUUGCUUGGAUCGGGGGCUACUUUGUAAACCACCAGGAAGACUCCAGUGUUUCUGCUUAAUUUUUAGAUGUUUGUUAAUUGCCCUUGGCUUCUCAUUAAUCCCCGUGGGUCAUUCAGGAAACAUACCACUGUCCGUUCCCUGAGUUUUCAUUUCCAGGCAUCUGCCCUGCCUGGAUCUCCUCGCCUUCCAGGAACUUCCUCUUCACAAGCCAACCAUCCCAGCAAAAGUUCUAACAUCAAAGGUCUAGCAACUAGCCUGCCAUCUUGUCCCUAGAGCCACCUGCGUGCCACCUAUCCCCGAAGAUGGGAACCUCGUUGCCAGUUGGGCAGAUGCAGGACAAUCCUGUACCAAGACCCCAUCUUACCACCUGUUUUCUCGGACCACUCUGGAACCCACUGUCUCAGAUUGGGUCCUCCAGGAAGCAGACUGUGAGAGGGAGUUGGCAGGACCAAAGGUUUACUGGGGCUAACUAACCCUCAGGAAAGGGACAGGAAGGAAGCAGGGCUGGAGAGCAGGUUGAGCCCGACCUGACAGUCUUGAGCAGCCCAGCAGGGAGGUGUGGAGCAAGGGUUGCCCACUAGAGGGGCCUGCAUUGGGCAUGGGUGGUGGGGUCCACAUGGUACCUGGCACACAGCAGGCUGUGCAAUCCAUAUUAACUGCCUGGAUGAAUUAAUGCCCAGGAAAGGUGCCCUGGAGAACGGGUAUGUGCUGAGCACAAUAGGGAAGGGCCCAGCAUCUGCCUUGGCAUAGGCAGAACUGUGCUGUGCCCUGCAACAGGCCACCCGAGAGCUGCUUUCAUCUCGUGUGUGCAUUAGACAACUGCCAGGGGCAUGAAGGGGAUGUGCUUCCAGGGCAUUUGCUGGUAGGGCGUCUCGUGAUCUCUUGGUAUUGGUGUGAGCACAGCCUGGCAGGAGAGGGCGGAUCUCAGUGCAAAGUAUCAUGUCAAAAAGCAGAUCGAAGCCAGGCCCCCUCCUGGAAGAGGCUCCUUGAAGGUAGGUGCACACUCAUGUCUCUGUUACUUGUAAGGGGGCAUCUUACAGGCAAGAGGAGUUAGGUGAAUGUGAAGAGGAAGGAACUGCUCACUCUGGGCAGGGGACUGGGGGAGGCUUCGUAGAGGAGCGGGUGUUUGAGCUGGGCCUUGAAGGUCGAAAGGGUUUUGUUAGGUGGGAAAUGGGGGAAGGACAGCCUGAAGGGGUUAGGUACCUUCAAGGAGCCCAGAGAAGUUGGUGGCUGGAGCAGACCCAUUCGUAGAGUGAAGUCGUGGGAGAAGAGGCUGGGAAACUAGAUUGGGUCCAACUCCUAAAGGCCCACUGAAGGAGUGUGGGUUGCACGCUGGGUGCAGCAGGUGAGUGUCCUCACUUGGGUUUCACUGUCAGCAUUUUUAAAAGGCGAACUGGUUCUCUUCCUGAGAAGAAUUCAUUGAUUCACUCAUGUGGCCAGUAAGUCAUCUGGGCCAGAGGUGGGUGGGGAGGUGAUAGGGGUGCAAGUGUCACCUUCAAUCACAGCAUAACUGCCCUUGCUUUCUUACCUCUCAUUUAGAUAUUUCAAUGCUUGCUCAGGUCCCCUGUACCCUCCUUCCUUCUCCCUUCGCAGCCAUACUACUUAUGGGGAGACUUUCUCUUUAUAAAAUGACCGUUAGUCUUAUCAAAUUAAUCCCAAAGUAGUACCAUCAAUUUCCCCCUAAAAUACCAACAAGACUCCUGCUUGAAACUACUUGUACAUUAGGGACAGAGAAGAGUUCAUGAGAAUCAGCAUUUUCUGAGGACUCCAGCUGUCUUCCGAGAGAGAGUUCUCCUGCUGGUGCCUCCUCUGUAGUAAAGCAAAGUCUCCUGGAACCACAUUAUCAUUCUCUUCACUCAAGAGAUGAGGAUGCUGAAAUUCAGAGAGGGGAAGUGAUUUGCCUCAGCUUGUGCUAAAGAAACAUUUCAACAGAGAACCCAGUGGAAAUUAUGACAUGUUAUCUUCUCAGAGUCCUGAACUCCCAUCCCUACCUCAGAAGAGACUCCUCUGUUCACAGAAGCUAAAGGCAGUUCCUUCCUAGUGGCAACUAUGUUUGGAUGUUGGAUCUACACUUUCUCAAGCACUGUGAUCUUCAAAUUGCAUGAGCCCCUGCCACUCUUCUAAAUAAGCUUCCAGGCAUUACCUGCAUGCUGUGUUCCUGUGGUGGGAUGGCAGUAAUCUCUGCUAAGAUAAACGGGAGCUUCUGUGGAUAAAGUGUAAACGCAGUGAAGUGUGUGUGGCUGGAAGAUUUAAUGCCUCUACAGGUAAUUUUUUUAGAGGGGGAUCUGGCAUUUAAUCAAAUCCAGAGUCAUUAUGUAAAUUUAAUCACCUUGCAACACACUAGUAAUUUUAUUAUCUCCUUUUCAUUUGACAGUGCUUAGAUACAAGUUGAGCUUGGAAUUCCAGAGGUAGAGCACUGCUGAUUGGAGGCAUAUUAAAUAAAAUAUACUGUGGAAAUGAGAUAAAACCUUUAUUCUUGCCAAUGAUUGUCACUCUUGUAUGCAGGUGUCCAACAAAGAAUUUUUGAAUAAAGUGUGCCUUUAAAGUUUCCCACCUUUCUUAAAGCUCCCAGUGAAUUGCAAAGGGCCUGUUUGGAAUGGACCACAUUAAAUCUACUUCAAAUGAAAACCUUUACACUGAGUGAGAUAUGGUUCAACUCUUCUUAACACAAGGCCUUUACACUUGUGUAGUCCAUUUUGGUUUGGCCUAUCUUGUCACUAGAAUGCUAUCUGAGCUUGGAUUAUUUAUGCCAUAAGAUUUCUUAAAAUUGAAGGCAGUAUUUCCAUUCAUCAGCACUAGUUUUGAUAGAUGUUUAAAAGAUGCAGUAGGGUUGAUGAUCCUGAAUACACAAAUUACUGAUCACCACAUCAAGUUGGAUUUCCCUAAAGGUGUAUGGCUUUUUGACCUUGUGAUUUACACUAAUGAUUAUGUCUUAAUAAAAGUCAUAAAGCUAAAUACUUUAUGUGUGAUCUAAGGAGUGAAAUUAGAAAGGAAGCAAGAGGAGAGACAUACUGUGUUGAACUGAUCUUGCUAAGGCAGAAGAAAUGGCAUUUUAUGGUGUUUUUUCUUUCCUUCACUUCUCUGUUUUACUUCCACUUUUUAUCUCUUAAUUUGAAAGAAACUCUUGAGAAUAUCUCUUCUCCUGCAGACGAAGACACCAUGAGCUCCCCCAUCCAUACACUAGAACACGUAGGCCCUUGGUCAACCAGAGAGUCUUUCCUUUAAUCAGGUGAUAUCUCUCCUUUUAUACCUUGCAGGCAUGGAAGCCAAUGACUUGGGCAAAUGCCCCUAAUUCAGGAUCAACUCAGAUGACCAGGUUUCCCCUACCUAGAGUGCUACUUAUUGCAGUGAAAACUUUUCUUUCCAAAAACCUUUAAUUAAACCUUUAAUAACUCCCUGACUCAUAACAUGGCUUCAUAAUGGAAAAUCAAAAUGGCAUAAUCUGGGAUUAAGAUUUAAGUGCCUUACUAUCUAGUUUCCCAUUGAGCUGAGUAUCUGUUCUCUGUUUAGCACUUAUGCCUCAAUUGUCUCAUUCUAAAAUGGAAGUAAUGAUCACUACCUACCUCCAAGGGUUGGUAUAGGAUUCAGUGAGGCAUUUGAUGUGGAAGUAUCCAACACUCAGUUUGGCAUAGAGUAUAUGUUCAGUGAGGGCAAGUGGAAUUUGAAUGAUCUUGUGAGUGCUAAGAGGUAAUAAUCCAGGGUUAGUAUGCAACCCUAACAAUGGGGCUACCAUGUACAAUCACAGUGAGGGUCUGAAUCAAAUGAGGAUAAUUGGGCUCUGGCUUUGGUGUCUCCUUUUGUGGGUUGCAGCUGAUAAAAUAAGUCCUCUUUUGUCACAGCAUCAUACAAAAGUAGGUUCACACAUGUACACACACACACACACACACACACAUACACGUGGCUUGGGUGAGAGAGUAUAUCAAAUAAUCCCAUAGUAGAGAGAUGAUGAGAUUGCUGUUAAGGGAUGUCCUUAUUUGGCUAAAACUUGUGUGACUUUAGGAAAUGGACUUACCCGCUCUCUCUCAGUUUCUCUCUCUCUCUCUCUCUCUCUCUCUCUCUCUCUCUCUCUCUCUCUCUCUCGUCUAUCCAUUCAUCCAACCAUCUGUCCAUUCAUUCAAAAAGCACUUAUGAAAUAUACCCAUCACUAUAUUUCUGUCACCAUUGCUGAGUAGUGAUGAUAGAAAGAUUGAUACUUUUCCUUUCCUUAAAGAGCUUAUACUCUUGGAGAGAGGGACAAGCAAACAGUUAUAAGACACUCUUAAUCCAUUUGGGCUGCUAUAACAACAUACCUUAGACUGGAAAAUUUAUAAAUAACGUAAAUUUAUCACUAACAGUUCUUGAGGCUUCAGAAAGUCCAGAAACUAAGGUGCCAACAAGUUCAGUUGUCUAGUGAAGGCUCUCUCCUUCAUAGAUGGUCCCUUCUUGCUGCAUAUUCACAUGGUGAAAAGGGCAAGAGGCUAAUAAACUCUCUGAGCACUCUUUUAUAAGAGCACUAAUCCCAUUCAUGAGGAUCCACCCUCAUGACCUAAUCACCUCCUAAAAGUCCCAUCUCUUAAUAUUAUUGCUUUGGGGAUUAGGUAUCAACAUGAAUUUGGGAGUGACACAAACAUUCAGACCAUAGCAAAUACUAUUUCAAAGUGACAAAAGCAUGCAGAGGGUAUCAUGGGAAUAAAGAGAAGGUUCCUUUCCCAGCCUGGAGUGGGAAUGAGUGGUCAGAGAAGACUUCAGGAAGAGGUGGUGCUUGGGCUAAGUCCUAAAGGGUAAAGAGGUGUUUACAUAGUAACAAGUGGCGGGGGCGGGUGGAAGAUUGUGUUUUAGCUGAGGGCAAACCCUGGGCUCUAAUGCUGUGCAGUUCCUAUACUGUCCAAUACUGGUAAGAGUUCUGAUCAGACCUGACAGCCAUACAUGAAAUGUAGACUCAGCGUUUGUUUGUAGCCCACCAGAUGUGUUGAGAACACUGUGGAUAAGUGCAUAUUUUAGUGCUUCUGUAAAGCCCUAGAAAGUAAAUAUUUUAGGCUUUGAAGGCCAUGAGGUCUCUUUUGCAACUAUGCAGUGCUAUGUCAUCACAGAUUUAAUUUCCAUUUUUCUAAUAGUUGACAAUGUUGAAAAUAUCAUGUGCUUAUUUGCUAUCUACACAUCUUUGUUGA